GCCAGAGGCAGUGGUGCAUGCCUGUAGUCCCAGCUACUCAGGAGGCUGAGACAGGAGGAUCGCUUGAGUCCAGGAGUUCUGGGCUAUAGUGCUCUAUGCUGAUCGUGUGCCUGCACUUAGUUUGGCAUCAAUAUGGUGACCUCCCAGGAGCAUAGGGCCACCAGGUUGCCUAAGGAGGGGUGAACUGGCCCAGGUUGGAAAUGGAGGAGGUCAAAACUCCCAUGCUGAUCAGUAAUGGGGUCGUGCCUGUGAAUAGCCACUGCACUCCAGCCUGGGCAACAUAGCGAGACCCCUUCUCUA
rfam:Otolemur garnettii contig019107, whole genome shotgun sequence.